rnacentral:rRNA from 1 species
GAUGAACGCUGGCGGCGUGCCUAACACAUGCAAGUCGAACGGAGUCGUUUUGGAAAUCUCUUCGGAGAUGGAAUUCUCGACUUAGUGGCGGACGGGUGAGUAACGCGUGAGCAAUCUGCCUUUAAGAGGGGGAUAACAGUCGGAAACGGCUGCUAAUACCGCAUAAAGCAUUAAAUUCGCAUGUUUUUGAUGCCAAAGGAGCAAUCCGCUUUUAGAUGAGCUCGCGUCUGAUUAGCUAGUUGGCGGGGUAACGGCCCACCAAGGCGACGAUCAGUAGCCGGACUGAGAGGUUGAACGGCCACAUUGGGACUGAGACACGGCCCAGACUCCUACGGGAGGCAGCAGUGGGGAAUAUUACGCAAUGGGGGAAACCCUGACGCAGCAACGCCGCGUGAUUGAAGAAGGCCUUCGGGGUGUAAAGAUCUUUAAUCAGGGACGAAACAAAUGACGGUACCUGAAGAAUAAGCGCCGGCUAACUACGUG